CAUGCCCAUUCUCUAUCUGCCUCUCGAAGAUAUAAGUGCUUGCUAUGGUAAAAUUGGAAUAAUACAGAGGAGAUUAGCAUGGCCCUGCAGAAGAAUAACAUGUAAGUUCAUGAAGCAUUCCAUAUAUAU
rnacentral:snRNA from 1 species